UGCCUUUUGCAUCAUGCUUUAUAGAUUAUGUUCUAUAAGAAGAGAUUACCGAAAGGCCUAGGAUCAUUACAAUACUUGUUGGGAACUAAGUGUUUCUGGGUCAGGAUAAGGCAAAAGUAUUGUAAAGUAGUGAAAAAUUAUUCGUUGGGUCUUAUAUCUGUUAUACUAUAUUUGUUUUCAAUUAACAUGGCAAGUUUAGAUAUUUGCUAUGCGAUAAUACGAUAGCUACGGCCUAGUUAAAAAGGGGUUAAAGUUACCCAUUUUUAAGAAAAUUGUUAAAAGUUUUUUGUUUAGGUGCUUGUGUUUAUUAGAUAUAUAGUAUGCAUUAAUAACUAGGUUUAUUAAUUAUAAAAUAAGUAAUUUUAAUUCUUUAUUCAUUUCUCGAGCUUUGCCCGUCUGUUUAUUAAAAACAUUUCCAAAUUUUAUAAUAUUUGGUAGUGCCUGCUCUAUGUUUAUAUAAAUGGCCGCAGUAUCUUGACUGUGCGAAGGUAGCAUAAUUAAUUGCCUUAUAAUUGAAGGCUUGUUUGAAUGGUUUGACGUGGUAACAGUUAAUGUGUGAAGAUUUAUUGAAAUUUAUUUUGAGGGCACAGAAUCCUCAUUUAUUAAUUAGACGGAAAGACCCCGGGAUUUUGUUAUUUUGUUUGGGGCGAAUUUUAAUAAUUCAUUGAAAUUUUGACCCUUUAGGUUUAAUGGUUUAAAUUACCCCGGGGAUAACAGGGUAAUAAUCAAUAAGAGAUCUUAUCGAAUUGAUUGUUUGCUACCUCGAUGUUGACUUAGAUAAAGGAUUGGGCGCAGGAGUUCAAUCCUUAGGUCUGUUCGACCUAUAAUAUCUCCAUGAGUUGAGUUAAGACCGGCGUGAGCCAGGUCGGUUCUUAUCUAUU
rnacentral:rRNA from 1 species